AUCACGGAGUGUCAAAGAAACUAGUGUCAGUAUCAGAUAAUAAAAAAUCGUAUAGGUAGUAACAUUUAGUUUGGACUUACCGCUCUCUAAUAAUGGGAAAAGGAACGGGUUUAAAUAUUAAUUUGGAACUUAUUCUGAGACUUGUUGUCCUGUUAAACAGAUUUUAGUUAUUGUCGCUCUUGCUUUAUUUAUGACUUCGGGGGUCACAUAUUCGUACAGUGCACUUGACGCUACCGACGCCAUGAAUAUAUCAGCAAGUAUUUAUAUAAUUAUAACAUUAAUAAUGCUUGGAUUAUUGCUUGUUAAAAAUCAAGAAUUAGAACAAGGUUUAGCUGGAGUAUUUUUAAUUGUCGGUGCAUUACUGUUAAUAAGCUCUGGCAUAGCUGUUGCGGUUCUAGUUGGAAUCGACGAUGGAGACGUUGUAUGGUUGGUUUCGGGUAUUAUGGCUAUUUUAGGAGGGGUUGCAAUGUGUGUAGACGCAUUGAAAACAUAUGGUGUGUUUUAAUAUUCGACACCAAUAUUAUGUAAUAAAAGUAUUAGUUUAUCAUUAUUAUGGAAUAUAUCAAGAAACUUAUAAAAAAGUUAUAUUAAAAACUUAUAAAUAAAUUUUAAAACUGUAAUUGACAUUCAUUACAUCUGUCUAUAUUCAUUCUGGUUCAACGCAGUACCAUAAGUACCUUGCGCAGUAUCAUAAGUUCUAAUAUGAUAGUGCAUAGGCAGUGUCUAGUUGGGGUUGCGAUAAACAAUGGAAGAGAAAACCUGCUAGCGAAGCAAUGAAAUGCAAUACAUGCAUUUUUACGCAGGUGCGUAUAUUGAAGCGGUCAGGGGUAGAUGGGCCAUAUGGGAAAAUUGGAAA